ensembl:lncRNA
CGCUAAUAUCACCAAGCAACACAUGGAGAGAUGGCAGCUGAGAGCACAGUGAGGUCUGGAUGAGGACAGCUACCUUCCUCUGCAGACCCCUUCCCAUCACCUGCAAGAGGAGAUUUGGAUGCACAAAGAGACAGACACAAGGGGUGCUCACACACAGAGGAAAGACAGUGAAAACGCAGCCAUCCACAAACCAAGGAGAGAAGCCCGUGGAGUAGCCAAACCUGCCAACACCUUGGUCUUGGACUCCAGAACCAUGGGAAGUAAAUUCUUGUUUAAACCGCCCAUUAGUGGGGACAUUAAGCUGGGGAGGAAAACCAAUCCAUUCAACAUCAACCAGAAAAUCUAAAUAGGCUGGAAGAGCGUAACCUCAGGAUCCAUUUCAACAAUCUUGCAUUUAUGUUUAAAUAAUCAGUUGCAUAAUAAAAUGUAGGAUGGUCUAACA